GUUCAUUGUGCCCUUUUUUUAGAUUCCAGCAAUCAUCACGCCCACAUUUUCACAGUGUAAUUAGCCUGUGAUUUAUUGCCAGUCUUUCCCAUCCAUGGUUCCUCCAUAUCCUCAGAUUCAAUCCGCUUCAGACUCUGCAGUACAGCCAUAGUUACUGUUGAAAAUGUCUGCGAAGUGCAAAACCGUUUUGUUCAAGGGUCAACUAUAAUUUUCCUGUCAGAAGCACUUCCUUCCUAACCUCAUUUGUCGUCUUCAAGUUUUGAAAGCAUUAUCAGAUGAAAACAAAACGGAGUCUAAAUGGCGAGUCUAUAGGUCUCCCCGGUCCGUGGCCAUGGAUAAGGUUUCAUUAACAAUGUCAGCCCAGGAGUUUGGUGGCUCAGCAGGGUAAGGAUCCGGCAUUGCCAUUGCCGUGGCUCAGGUUGCAGCCAUGGUACGGGGUCGAUCCCUGGCUGAGGAGCUUGCCCAUGCAGCAGGGGCAGCCAAACAAAACCAAACCAAACCGAUGUCAGCUGAAAUGCUGCCCCGAUAGCUCACCCAGGACCUCCAGCUCCUGGCACGCUCUCCCAUCACCAGAGAGUAAACAAGCCGGUCCCCCACGUGGGCCUGAGCCCCACCCUCUCUGUGGUUUGGCAGAAUCUUCUGGACUCUGGUGCUUCUCCAUCCUUGGGCUCCAGAGUCUCUCUUGGGAUUCCAGUUAGAGCCGCCGGCCCCUUAGGCAUUGCUGCUUUUCCGCUUGGUGUAUCCGGCCAAGUACACCAGACUCCCCAAGACGCCAGCGUCCCCUCCCCUCCCUUUCUGUGACACGCUGGUAGAGCAGUUCUCAAGCAGUAUUUUUGGGCCCUGGUAUUUUGCAGCGCUUUGGUGAAGGAGCUCUUUGGGUUUUUACUUGCUGGCUUCCUGUUCUCCGUGUGUUGGACGUGAAGCCCAUAGGGGGAGGGGGCUAGAGAGGCUGGCUAAGAACCAGUCUCCUUUCUCACUUAAGAUGGCACUCUCCUCGGACCACCAAGGCUUUCUCCUGAGCCUGGAUCGCUCUAUUCCUCAGCUGAAUGAUCUCCCAGGGGACAGGGGUAGCCCCCACCGGCACUUUCUUUCAAGUUCCCGCCCCUGGCAGGCGGGAACCUCCUGCAGGGGCACAUCUCAAGCCCAAGCUAAGAUCCCUACUAGAACGACAUCUUCGAGUGGUCCAGGGACCACCGCGUCCACCACAAGUACUCGGAGACGGACGCUGACCCCCACAACGCCCGGCGCGGCUUCUUCUUCUCUCACAUCGGGUGGCUGUUUGUCCGCAAGCACCGGGAUGUCAUCGAGAAGGGGAGGAAGCUGGACGUUACCGACCUGCUGGCUGACCCUGUGGUCCGGUUCCAGAGAAAGUAAGUGAACCGGCACCGCCCGCCUCCCUCGGGGACGGGCUGCAGUGACAUCCCCAAGCCGCUGGCCCCGAAGCACGUGACGGUCGGGUCUUCUUGUUGGGAUUUCCGUUGGUUCCGUCUCUUUCGCUCAUUACAAUUUCCCUCUUCCCCAUUUGUUUGAAUUGGGACUUGAUUUUGGAAUGGGUUUCCUUUAAGCCCACUUGUCAUUUCCUUUUCGACCCAUCCGCCUGGCUGAUUUCCUGGAAUGUGACUGUCGUUUUUUUCCUGUUUCCCGGGAGGCGAGGAGGACAGAGAUGACUGCUUUAUUUUGCAGAUAGACUUGAGUCCAAUGGGACUGGACUCUGUUGGGGGCCCUGCUCUCUUCUCCCAGAAUUCUCUUGGCUCAGUGUCUCCCCUCCCCCACUCCUGGCGGUGGAAACCCCAAUAGGUUUCUGGGCAGAGACCCACGUAACAAAGAGCCCCAAGGUGCUUGUGUGCACGAGUGGUGUCAGCUGAGCACAUUCAGUCCGUGCGCAUGUGCAUCUAUUUUCAGCCAGACGAGGCGAAAGACCCCUGUGAUUAUGCUGGCAAGUGGAGCUCGACCUCCGUUCACAUUUUAAGUAGGGAGCUGGCACGGGCUGUGCCCAUGCUGGUCUGGAUCUGCAGAGUCGGCCACGAUGAGAGCACUCCUGAAUGGGUUCGUUGCCCCAGAGCAACGGAUUUAUGUGCAAAGAGGGACAGUUUUUGGAUCCCCUCUGGUGGAGCCUUGAGAUGAUAUGAUGAACAAGGGGGUCACUGGACACCAUCUCCACUGAGAGGCAGGAGUCCUUUGAGGACUUAUCCAAACAGUGUCUCCUGAAAAUGGAAAUAGAGGCUGGCCUUUGACACAAGAGACCCUUGCAUGAGAGGAAGGACGGCUUAGAGAUGUACUCAUCCCCACCCCUGCCUCUCCUCUGACCUGGGAGCCAGUAGUAGCACACACAUGGUGAGAUGCCGGCUGGGGGAGACAGAGGCCCAGGCUCGUACUGA
rnacentral:lncRNA from 1 species